UGGGGAAUAUUGCACAAUGGGGGAAACCCUGAUGCAGCGACGCCGCGUGGAGGAAGAAUGUCUUCGGAUUGUAAACUCCUGUCCUCAGGGACGAUAAUGACGGUACCUGAGGAGGAAGCACCGGCUAACUACGUGCCAGCAGCCGCGGUAAAACGUAGGGUGCAAGCGUUGUCCGGAAUUACUGGGUGUAAAGGGAGCGCAGGCGGAUCGGCAAGUUGGAAGUGAAAACUAUGGGCUUAACCCAUAGAUUGCUUUCAAAACUGCUGAUCUUGAGUGGUGUAGAGGUAGGCGGAAUUCCCGGUGUAGCGGUGGAAUGCGUAGAUAUCGGGAGGAACACCAGUGGCGAAGGCGGCCUACUGGGCACUAACUGACGCUGAGGCUCGAAAGCAUGGGUAGCAAACA
rnacentral:rRNA from 1 species